rnacentral:rRNA from 1 species
GGUAAGGUAAAGGCUUACCAAGACGAUGAUGUGUAGCUGGACUGAGAGGUNGAACAGCCACAUUGGGACUGAGACACGGCCCAAACUCCUACGGGAGGCAGCAGUAAGGAAUUUUUGGCAAUGGAGGAAACUCUGACCGAGCGACGCCGCGUGAACAAUGAAGUACUUCGGUAUGUAAAGUUCUUUUAUUGAAAAAGAAAAAAUAGUGGAAAAACUAUCUUGACAUUAUUCAAUGAAUAAGCCCCGGCUAAUUAUGUGCCAGCAGCCGCGGUAAUACAUAAGGGGCGAGCGUUAUCCGGAAUUAUUGGGCGUAAAGGGUGCGUAGGCGGUUUGAUAAGUCUAUAGUUUAAUUGCAGUGCUUAACGCUGUACCGCUAUAGAAACUGUCUGACUAGAGUUAGAUAGAGGCAAGCGGAAUUCCAUGUGUAGCGGUAAAAUGCGUAAAUAUAUGGAGGAACACCAGAGGCGUAGGCGGCUUGCUGGGUCUUAACUGACGCUGAGGCACGAAAGCGUGGGGAGCAAACAGGAUUAGAUACCCUGGUAGUCCACGCCGUAAACGAUGAGUACUAAGUGUCGGGUUUUGGCUCGGUACUGAAGUUAACACAUUAAGUACUCCGCCUGAGUAGUACGUACGCAAGUAUGAAACUUAAAGGAAUUGACGGGACCCCGCACAAGCGGUGGAUCAUGUUGUUUAAUUCGAAGANNCACGAAAAACCUUACCAGGUC